UACGUAGGGGGCAAGCGUUGUCCGGAAUCAUUGGGCGUAAAGAGCGCGUAGGCGGCCCUGUAAGUCCGCUGUGAAAGUCAAGGGCUCAACCCUUGAAUGCCGGUGGAUACUGCAGGGCUAGAGUCCGGAAGAGGCGAGUGGAAUUCCUGGUGUAGCGGUGAAAUGCGCAGAUAUCAGGAGGAACACCAGCGGCGAAGGCGGCGCUCUGGGCCGGUACUGACACUGAGGAGCGAAAGCGUGGGUAGCAAACAGG
rnacentral:rRNA from 1 species